rnacentral:rRNA from 1 species
CAGCCGCCACGGUAAUACGUAGGGUGCGAGCGUUGAUCGGAAUUACUGGGCGUAAAGCGUGCGCAGGCGGUUAUGUAAGACAGUUGUGAAAUCCCCGGGCUCAACCUGGGAACUGCAUCUGUGACUGCAUAGCUAGAGUACGGUAGAGGGGGAUGGAAUUCCGCGUGUAGCAGUGAAAUGCGUAGAUAUGCGGAGGAACACCGAUGGCGAAGGCAAUCCCCUGGACCUGUACUGACGCUCAUGCACGAAAGCGUGGGGAGCAAACAGGAUUAGAUACCCGUGUAGUCCCUGUCUCUUAUAC